AAAGGAAUUGACGGGGGCCCGCACAAGCGGUGGAGCAUGUGGAUUAAUUCGACGCAACGCGAAGAACCUUACCAAGGCUUGACAUGGAGACGCUCGGCGUGGAAACGCGCUUUCUUCCGCAAGGAAGCGGCUCACACAGGUGGUGCAUGGUUGUCGUCAGCUCGUGUCGUGAGAUGUUGGGUUAAGUCCCGCAACGAGCGCAACCCUUAUGUUCAGUUGCCACCGGGUAAAGCCGGGCACACUGGAGAGACUGCCGUGGAUGACACGGAGGAAGGUGGGGACGAGGUCAAAUCAUCAUGCCCCUUACGUCUUGGGCUUCACACGUGCUACAAUGGCUCAAACAGAGUGAAGCGAACCCGCGAGGGGGAGCGGAUCACAAAAAGGAGCCUCAGUUCGGAUUGUUCUCUGCAACUCGAGAGCAUGAAGUCGGAAUCGCUAGUAAUCGCGAAUCAGCAUGUCGCGGUGAAUACGUUCCCGGGCCUUGUACACACCGCCCGU
rnacentral:rRNA from 1 species